rnacentral:rRNA from 1 species
UGCGUAGGCGGAAUAUUAAGUCAGUGGUGAAAUCCUGCGGCUCAACCGUAGAACUGCCAUUGAUACUGAUAUUCUUGAAGGUAGUUGAGGUAGGCGGAAUGUGUAAUGUAGCGGUGAAAUGCUUAGAUAUUACACAGAACACCGAUUGCGAAGGCAGCUUACUAAACUAUGAUUGACGCUGAGGCACGAAAGCGUGGGGAGCGAACAGGAUUAGAUACCCUGGUAGUCC